GUAAUUUUGGCAGCACAUAUACUAAAAUUAGAACAAUACACAGAAGAUUAACGUGGCCCCUGUGCAAGGACGACACAUGAAAACAGAGUCUCUCACUCUGUUG